rnacentral:rRNA from 1 species
UACAGAGGGCUCAAGCGUUGUUCGGAUUCAUUGGGCGUAAAGGGUGCGUAGGCGGUGGGGCAAGUCAGGUGUGAAAUCCCGGAGCUCAACUCCGGAACUGCACUUGAUACUGCUUUACUAGAGUACUGGAGAGGAGACUGGAAUUUACGGUGUAGCAGUGAAAUGCGUAGAUAUCGUAAGGAAGACCAGUGGCGAAGGCGAGUCUCUGGACAGUUACUGGCGCUGAGGCACGAAGGCCAGGGGAGCAAACGGG